UCAGUAACACGUAGUCAACAUGCCCAGGGGACGUGGAUAACCUCGGGAAACUGAGGAUAAACCACGAUAGGUCAUAAUAUCUGGAAUGAUUUAUGGCUAAAAUCUACAUGGCCCCUGGAUUGGACUGCGGCCGAUCAGGCUGUUGGUGAGGUAAUGGCCCACCAAACCUAAAACCGGUACGGGCUCUGAGAGGAGAAGCCCGGAGAUGGGCACUGAGACAAGGGCCCAGGCCCUAUGGGGCGCAGCAGGCGCGAAAACUCUGCAAUAAGCGAAAGCUUGACAGGGUUAUUCUGAGUGAUUUCCGCUAAGGAAAUCUUUUGGCACCUCUAAAAACUGGUGCCAGAAAUAAGGGGUGGGCAAGCCUGGUGCCAGCC
rnacentral:rRNA from 1 species